UGCAGCUGGGCGAGUGCACCGUGAAAUAGUUGUCCGAAAUAAAAGCAAUUUUAUAAAUAAUAGUUGCUUUUCAGAAUGUGCAAACUAGUGCAAUGCUUUAAAAAAACUAUUUCGAAGAGAUAGAUAUAGUUUGCAGCUUGCGGUUAACGAAGUUCGUGCGAAAAUCCGCGAUAUAUUCCACCAAGUUGUUCGGAUAAUCACAGCUGUUUGGAUUCAAUUCAUUCAACGGAAGAUCCAAAAUCAACGAACGACACGAACGGGAUCGUGAAAUGGAUCGAAAGAAUCUAAAUAAGAUAAGUUUAUAUUCCGUGCUUACUGUAAAGUGAAACCAUCAAAUAAUUGAUAUUGUUUCUUUUCGUGUGUACUUUGUAGAUCCUGCAAUCGAAGGAGCGAGGAAUAAACGCAGGAGCCACUUCCAUACGCGUUAUUCCGUGAAAAAGCUGAAAUGCCGGUGAUCCGAACCUCAACAAGGAAGGAAGAAGAACGCGAAGAAGAAGAGUGCGAUCAUGGCUUUACCGGUGGGUGAGACGUUUUAAAAUCAUGUAAGAUAUAUGUUAAUAUAAAUAAAAUAAGUUUAUUCGUAAAA